rfam:Firmicutes bacterium CAG:466 genomic scaffold, scf119
UCUUGCAGAGAUAAAAACACGAUCCGGUUGGUAGUCCGGAUGCGGCAAGAAGCCGUCAGUAACCUGCCUCCUUGGUUGUCCCUUCUUUGUGCAGUAAAA